UACGGAGGGUGCGAGCGUUUGUCCGGAAUCAUUGGGCGUAAAGCGCGCGUAGGCGGCCCGGUAAGUCCGUUGUGAAAGUCAAAGGCUCAACCUUUGAACGCCGAUGGAUACUGCCGGGCUAGAGUCCGGAAGAGGCGAGUGGAAUUCCUGGUGUAGCGGUGGAAUGCGCAGAUAUCAGGAGGAACACCUGUGGCGAAAGCGGCUCACUGGACCAUAACUGACGCUGAUGCACGAAAGCUAGGGGAGCAAACAGG
rnacentral:rRNA from 1 species